rnacentral:rRNA from 1 species
AUUGAACGCUGGCGGCAGGCCUAACACAUGCAAGUCGAACGAGUGGCGGACGGGUGAGUAAUGUCUGGGUAACUGCCUGAUGGAUGGGGAUAACUACUGGAAACGGUAGCUAAUACCGCAUACCAUCAGAUGUGCCCAGAUGGGAUUAGCUAGUAGGUGGGGUAACGGCUCACCUAGGCGACGAUCCCUAGCUGGUCUGAGAGGAUGACCAGCCACACUGGAACUGAGACACGGUCCAGACUCCAACGGGAGGCAGUAGUGGGGAAUAUUGGACAAUGGGCGCAAGCCUGAUGCAGCCAGGACGCGUGUAUGAAGAAGGCCUUCGGGUUGUAAAGUACUAUCAGCGGGGAGGCGGUACCCGCAGAAGAAGCACCGGCUAACUCCGUGCCAGCAGCCGCGGUAAUUC